rnacentral:rRNA from 1 species
GACGGGGACCCGCACAAGCGGUGGAGCAUGUGGUUUAAUUCGAAGCAACGCGAAGAACCUUACCAAGUCUUGACAUCCUUCUGACAAUACUCUGUAAUGGAGUACUUCCUUCGGGACAGAAGUGACAGGUGGUGCAUGGUUGUCGUCAGCUCGUGUCGUGAGAUGUUGGGUUAAGUCCCGCAACGAGCGCAACCCUUGUCCUUAGUAGCCAGCAGUUCGGCUGGGCACUCUAGGGAGACUGCCAGGGUGAACCUGGAGGAAGGUGGGGAUGACGUCAAAUCAUCAUGCCCCUUAUGACUUGGGCUACACACGUGCUACAAUGGCGUAAACAAAGAGAAGCGAACUUGUGAGAGUGAGCAAAUCUCAAAAAUAACGUCUCAGUUCGGAUUGUAGUCUGCAACUCGACUACAUGAAGCUGGAAUCGCUAGUAGUCGCAGAUCAGAAUGCUGCGGUGAAUACGUUCCCGGGUCUUGUACACACCGCCCGUCACACCAUGGGAGUUAGAAAUGCCCGAAGUCAGUGACCCAACCGUAAGGAGGGAGCUGCCUAAGGCAGGUCGGAUAACUGG